rnacentral:rRNA from 1 species
UACGUAGGGCGCAAGCGUUGUCCGGAAUUAUUGGGCGUAAAGAGCUCGUAGGCGGUCUGUCGCGUCGGCUGUGAAAGCCCGGGGCUCAACCCCGGGUCUGCAGUCGAUACGGGCAGGCUAGAGUGCGGUAGGGGAGACUGGAAUUCCUGGUGUAGCGGUGAAAUGCGCAGAUAUCAGGAGGAACACCGGUGGCGAAGGCGGUUCUCUGGGCCUGUACUGACGCUGAGGAGCGAAAGCGUGGGGAGUGAACAGG